rnacentral:rRNA from 1 species
AUUGAACGCUGGCGGCAUGCCUUACACAUGCAAGUCGAACGGUAACAGGUCUUCGGAUGCUGACGAGUGGCGAACGGGUGAGUAAUACAUCGGAACGUGCCCGAGAGUGGGGGAUAACGAGGCGAAAGCUUUGCUAAUACCGCAUACGAUCUCAGGAUGAAAGCAGGGGACCGCAAGGCCUUGCGCUCACGGAGCGGCCGAUGGCAGAUUAGGUAGUUGGUGGGAUAAAAGCUUACCAAGCCGACGAUCUGUAGCUGGUCUGAGAGGACGACCAGCCACACUGGGACUGGGACACGGCCCAGACUCCUACGGGAGGCAGCAGUGGGGAAUUUUGGACAAUGGGCGCAAGCCUGAUCCAGCCAUGCCGCGUGCAGGAUGAAGGCCUUCGGGUUGUAAACUGCUUUUGUACGGAACGAAAAGACUCCUUCUAAUAAAGGGGGUCCAUGACGGUACCGUAAGAAUAAGCACCGGCUAACUACGUGCCAGCAGCCGCCGUAACAC